GAUCAUCAAUCUCUCUCUCUCUCUCGCCUUCUCCACCCACCGACAUGCGACAACCGAACCAUACGACCCGACUCGACUCGACUCUCCUCUUCCGAGCCACGGCGCCAGCGGCACGGAGAAGGCGAGCGGAAGCCGCCGUCGCUGAGGAGCGCGAUUCGUGUCGCCCACCCGCAAGGCAACGCGUUUGCGGUUUGAUGUAAGCUGUAAACUGCGUGAAGUAAUUAUGAACCAGAACCGAACAUGGAGUCUAAGUGACAUUGAUCCCUGCAGAAUGUUCUGGGUAGGGUAAUGGCUAAUGAUACUGGAGUUAUGCCUUGAGGACUAUCCUUGGUGUGGUUUGGAGUUGGAGAUAUUCCAAACAUUCUGGGUGUAAAAUUGUAUAUAAUCACAUCAUUUGGAGUAUUUUCCUGCUUCCAGAAGUGGCAUGAUUCUGCCAAAUUUGCAGCUUCAACAGGAUGCAGCACUUUUCUGGACGUACUGUGUUCAAUGACAGAAUGAAGGCCUUCAAAGCAGUCGCCCGGACUUGUUUGGUUUGAGGGUUCUACACCAACAUCUUCCAUUCUUUUAUUGAGAACGCUACAUUUUACAUUCUUCAUAACUAAUCUUCUACAGUAAGCAUCCUAUGUGGUCAUGUCUUUUUUUUUUCAAACCCAUUGCUAUCCCUUAAAAACAUGAAAACCCUUCAUUUCUAUCAUGCGUAUUAACAGUAUGUGAACCAUCUGGGACAAGUAAUGACUGAUGAAUGGUCGCAGGCUUGCAGCUGUGCCAUGAUUCUUUUAGCUGUGCUAACAUGAAAUUGACGUCCAUAGCUGUGUAGAAUCUCAAUCACUGCGGACAUAGGCUUUCGGAGACGAACGUGGAAGAUUGAGCUGCACGGUGGCAUGAUCCCUUUUUAAUUUUUCUACCACAACAACGUAGAUUCCCAUCUAGAUUCUUUAGCUCGUAUUCUUCCUAUAUGACGAUUGCAUGAUUUCGGCAUACGCCAAAUUUUGCAGACUUAACUCAUUUUUGUAUAGGUAUGUUAAUUAAUGACGUGGCCUUUUCUGGGGCGAAA